AGAGUUUGAUCCUGGCUCAGGACUAACGCUGGCGGCGUGUCUUAGACAUGUAAGUCGAACGGGUUGCUAUUUUGUAGCAAUACAGAAUAGCGCUAGUGGCGAACGGGUGAGUAAUACAAAAGUAACUUUCCUUAGAGUGAAGAAUAAUCUCGAGAAAUCGUGACUAAUUCUUCAUAUUCUCAAUAGACAUAUGUCUAUUGAGGAAAGGCUUCGGCCGCUCUGAGAUAGGCUUUUGACCUAUCAGUUUGUUGGCGGGUUAACAGCCCACCAAGACUACGACGGGUAGGGGGUGUGAGAGCAUGACCCCCCACAUGGGAACUGCGACACGGUCCCAACUCCUACGGGAGGCAGCAGUCUAGAAAUUUGGGCAAUGGACGAAAGUCUGACCCAGCGACGCCGCGUGAGGGAUGAAGUCUCUCGGGAUGUAAACCUCUGUUGAGGGGAACGAUAAUGACGGUACCCCUCGAGGAAGCCUCGGCUAACUCCGUGCCAGCAGCCGCGGUAAUACGGAGGAGGCAAGCGUUGUCCGGAAUCACUGGGCGUAAAGGGUGUGUAGGUGUCCUGGUGGGUCAAGUGUGAAAUCCAACAGCUUAACUGUUGAAGUGCACAUGAAACUAUCGGGAUUGAGGACAUGAGGGGAGAGCGGAACUCGCGGUGUAGCGGUAGAAUGCGUGGAUAUCGCGAGGAAUGCCGAUGGCGAAGGCGGCUCUCUAGUAUGUUUCUCGUAUGAGAAGCUGAAUAAUUUUAAUCUUCGGGUUUUGAUUAAUCGGUCCUGACACUGAAACACGAAAGCUGGGGGAGCGAACGGGAUUAGAUACCCCGGUAGUCCCAGCCCUAAACGAUGUACACUUGGCAUGCGCUAUAUUGUGCGUGCCGUAGGUAACCUGUUAAGUGUACCGCCUGGGGAGUACGCUCGCAAGGGUGAAACUCAAAGGAAUUGACGGGGACCCGCACAAGCGGUGGAGGAUGUGGUUCAAUUCGAGGCAACGCGAAGAACCUUACCUGGGCUUGACAUGCUGAUAGUACUGAACCGAAAGGUGACGGAUACCACCUCUGGUGGAAAGUCAGCACAGGUGCUGCAUGGCUGUCGUCAGCUCGUGCCGU
rnacentral:rRNA from 1 species